rnacentral:rRNA from 1 species
CCUACGGGAGGCAGCAGUGAGGAAUAUUGGUCAAUGGGCUUACGCCUGAACCAGCCAAGUCGCGUGAGGGAAGACUGCCCUAUGGGUUGUAAACCUCUUUUGUCAGGGAGCAACGCCGGCUACGUGUAGCCGGACUGAGAGUACCUGCAGAAAAAGCAUCGGCUAACUCCGUGCCAGCAGCCGCGGUAAUACGGAGGAUGCGAGCGUUAUCCGGAUUUAUUGGGUGUGAAGGGUGCGUAGGCGGAAUGCCAAGUCAGCGGUAAAAUCGCGGGGCUCAACCUCGCUCCGCCGUUGAAACUGGCGUUCUUGAGUGAGUGAGAAGUAUGCGGAAUGCGUGGUGUAGCGGUGAAAUGCAUAGAUAUCACGCAGAACUCCGAUUGCGAAGGCAGCAUGCCGGCGCCCGACUGACGCUGAGGCACGAAAGCGUGGGGAUCGAACAGGAUUAGAUACCCGUGUAGUC